GUAAAAAGUAGAAUAAUAGAUUUGAAAUAUUUAUUAUAUAGAUUUAAAGAGAUAAUCAUGGAGUAUAAUAAUUAAAUUUAAUAAAUUUAAUAUAACUAUUAAUAGAAUUAGGUUACUAAUAAAUUAAUAACAAUUAAUUUUAAAACCUAAAGGUAAACCUUUAUAUUAAUAAUGUUAUUUUUUAUUAUUUUUAUAAUAAGAAUAAUUAUUAAUAAUAAUAAACUAAGUGAACUGAAACAUCUAAGUAACUUAAGGAUAAGAAAUCAACAGAGAUAUUAUGAGUAUUGGUGAGAGAAAAUAAUAAAGGUCUAAUAAGUAUUAUGUGAAAAAAAUGUAAGAAAAUAGGAUAACAAAUUCUAAGACUAAAUACUAUUAAUAAGUAUAGUAAGUACCGUAAGGGAAAGUAUGAAAAUGAUUAUUUUAUAAGCAAUCAUGAAUAUAUUAUAUUAUAUUAAUGAUGUACCUUUUGUAUAAUGGGUCAGCAAGUAAUUAAUAUUAGUAAAACAAUAAGUUAUAAAUAAAUAGAAUAAUAUAUAUAUAUAAAAAAAUAUAUUAAAAUAUUUAAUUAAUAUUAAUUGACCCGAAAGCAAACGAUCUAACUAUGAUAAGAUGGAUAAACGAUCGAACAGGUUGAUGUUGCAAUAUCAUCUGAUUAAUUGUGGUUAGUAGUGAAAGACAAAUCUGGUUUGCAGAUAGCUGGUUUUCUAUGAAAUAUAUGUAAGUAUAGCCUUUAUAAAUAAUAAUUAUUAUAUAAUAUUAUAUUAAUAUUAUAUAAAGAAUGGUACAGCAAUUAAUAUAUAUUAGGGAACUAUUAAAGUUUUAUUAAUAAUAUUAAAUCUCGAAAUAUUUAAUUAUAUAUAAUAAAGAGUCAGAUUAUGUGCGAUAAGGUAAAUAAUCUAAAGGGAAACAGCCCAGAUUAAGAUAUAAAGUUCCUAAUAAAUAAUAAGUGAAAUAAAUAUUAAAAUAUUAUAAUAUAAUCAGUUAAUGGGUUUGACAAUAACCAUUUUUUAAUGAACAUGUAACAAUGCACUGAUUUAUAAUAAAUAAAAAAAAAUAAUAUUUAAAAUCAAAUAUAUAUAUAUUUGUUAAUAGAUAAUAUACGGAUCUUAAUAAUAAGAAUUAUUUAAUUCCUAAUAUGGAAUAUUAUAUUUUUAUAAUAAAAAUAUAAAUACUGAAUAUCUAAAUAUUAUUAUUACUUUUUUUUUAAUAAUAAUAAUAUGGUAAUAGAACAUUUAAUGAUAAUAUAUAUUAGUUAUUAAUUAAUAUAUGUAUUAAUUAAAUAGAGAAUGCUGACAUGAGUAACGAAAAAAAGGUAUAAACCUUUUCACCUAAAACAUAAGGUUUAACUAUAAAAGUACGGCCCCUAAUUAAAUUAAUAAGAAUAUAAAUAUAUUUAAGAUGGGAUAAUCUAUAUUAAUAAAAAUUUAUCUUAAAAUAUAUAUAUUAUUAAUAAUUAUAUUAAUUAAUUAAUAAUAUAUAUAAUUAUAUUAUAUAUUAUAUAUUUUUUAUAUAAUAUAAACUAAUAAAGAUCAGGAAAUAAUUAAUGUAUACCGUAAUGUAGACCGACUCAGGUAUGUAAGUAGAGAAUAUGAAGGUGAAUUAGAUAAUUAAAGGGAAGGAACUCGGCAAAGAUAGCUCAUAAGUUAGUCAAUAAAGAGUAAUAAGAACAAAGUUGUACAACUGUUUACUAAAAACACCGCACUUUGCAGAAACGAUAAGUUUAAGUAUAAGGUGUGAACUCUGCUCCAUGCUUAAUAUAUAAAUAAAAUUAUUUAACGAUAAUUUAAUUAAAUUUAGGUAAAUAGCAGCCUUAUUAUGAGGGUUAUAAUGUAGCGAAAUUCCUUGGCCUAUAAUUGAGGUCCCGCAUGAAUGACGUAAUGAUACAACAACUGUCUCCCCUUUAAGCUAAGUGAAAUUGAAAUCGUAGUGAAGAUGCUAUGUACCUUCAGCAAGACGGAAAGACCCUAUGCAGCUUUACUGUAAUUAGAUAGAUCGAAUUAUUGUUUAUUAUAUUCAGCAUAUUAAGUAAUCCUAUUAUUAGGUAAUCGUUUAGAUAUUAAUGAGAUACUUAUUAUAAUAUAAUGAUAAUUCUAAUCUUAUAAAUAAUUAUUAUUAUUAUUAUUAUUAAUAAUAAUAAUAUGCUUUCAAGCAUAGUGAUAAAACAUAUUUAUAUGAUAAUCACUUUACUUAAUAGAUAUAAUUCUUAAGUAAUAUAUAAUAUAUAUUAUAUAUAUAUUAUAUAUAAUAUAAGAGACAAUCUCUAAUUGGUAGUUUUGAUGGGGCGUCAUUAUCAGCAAAAGUAUCUGAAUAAGUCCAUAAAUAAAUAUAUAAAAUUAUUGAAUAAAAAAAUAAUAUAUAUUAUAUAUAUUAAUUAUAAAUUGAAAUAUGUUUAUAUAAAUUUAUAUUUAUUGAAUAUAUUUUAGUAAUAGAUAAAAAUAUGUACAGUAAAAUUGUAAGGAAAACAAUAAUAACUUUCUCCUCUCUCGGUGGGGGUUCACACCUAUUUUUAAUAGGUGUGAACCCCUCUUCGGGGUUCCGGUUCCCUUUCGGGUCCCGGAACUUAAAUAAAAAUGGAAAGAAUUAAAUUAAUAUAAUGGUAUAACUGUGCGAUAAUUGUAACACAAACGAGUGAAACAAGUACGUAAGUAUGGCAUAAUGAACAAAUAACACUGAUUGUAAAGGUUAUUGAUAACGAAUAAAAGUUACGCUAGGGAUAACAGGGUAAUAUAGCGAAAGAGUAGAUAUUGUAAGCUAUGUUUGCCACCUCGAUGUCGACUCAACAUUUCCUCUUGGUUGUAAAAGCUAAGAAGGGUUUGACUGUUCGUCAAUUAAAAUGUUACGUGAGUUGGGUUAAAUACGAUGUGAAUCAGUAUGGUUCCUAUCUGCUGAAGGAAAUAUUAUCAAAUUAAAUCUCAUUAUUAGUACGCAAGGACCAUAAUGAAUCAACCCAUGGUGUAUCUAUUGAUAAUAAUAUAAUAUAUUUAAUAAAAAUAAUACUUUAUUAAUAUAUUAUCUAUAUUAGUUUAUAUUUUAAUUAUAUAUUAUCAUAGUAGAUAAGCUAAGUUGAUAAUAAAUAAAUAUUGAAUACAUAUUAAAUAUGAAGUUGUUUUAAUAAGAUAAUUAAUCUGAUAAUUUUAUACUAAAAUUAAUAAUUAUAGGUUUUAUAUAUUAUUUAUAAAUAAAUAUAUUAUAAUAAUAAUAAUUAUUAUUAUUAAUAAAAAAUAUUAAUUAUAAUAUUAAUAAAAUACUAAUUUAUCAGUUAUCUAUAUAAUAUCUAAUCUAUUAUUCUAUAUACU
rnacentral:rRNA from 1 species